rnacentral:rRNA from 1 species
AUUGAACGCUGGCGGCAUGCCUUACGCAUGCAAGUCGAACGGCAGCACGGGAGCAAUCCUGGUGGCGAGUGGCGAACGGGUGAGUAAAGUAUCGGAACGUGCCCAGUCGUGGGGGAUAACGUAGCGAAAGUUACGCUAAUACCGCAUACGAUCUAUGGAUGAAAGCGGGGGAUCGCAAGACCUCGCGCGAUUGGAGCGGCCGAUAUCAGAUUAGGUAGUUGGUGGGGUAAAGGCUCACCAAGCCGACGAUCUGUAGCUGGUCUGAGAGGACGACCAGCCACACUGGGACUGAGACACGGCCCAGACUCCUACGGGAGGCAGCAGUGGGGAAUUUUGGACAAUGGGCGAAAGCCUGAUCCAGCCAUGCCGCGUGCUGGAUGAAGGCCUUCGGGUUGUAAACUGCUUUUGUACGGAACGAAAAGGUUUGGCCUAAUAAGCUGAGCUCAUGACGGUACCGUAAGAAUAAGCACCGGCUAACUACGUGCCAGCAGCCGCGGUAA